UGGAUCAAUGAUGACUACUGGUGGCGUAUGAGUCGUGUACAGUGAAUGUGUUCUGGAACUCUGAGGUCCAA
ensembl:snoRNA